UACGUAGGGUGCAAGCGUUAAUCGGAAUUACUGGGCGUAAAGCGUGCGCAGGCGGCUUUGCAAGACAGAUGUGAAAAUCCCCCGGGCUUAACCUGGGAACUGCAUUUGUGACUGCAUGGCUAGAGUGCGGCAGGAGGGGGAUGGAAUUCCGCGUGUAGCAGUGAAAUGCGUAGAUAUGCGGAGGAACACCGAUGGCGAAGGCAAUCCCCCUGGGCCUGC
rnacentral:rRNA from 1 species